rnacentral:rRNA from 1 species
GAUGCUUUACACAUGCAAGUCGAACGGCAGCACGGACUUGUCUGGUGGCGAGUGGCGAACGGGUGAGUACCGUAUCGGAACGUGCCUAGUAGCGGGGGGAUAACUACGCGAAAGGUGGCUAAUACCGCAUACGCCCUUCGGGGAAAGCGGGGACCUUCGGGCCUCGCACUAUUAGAGCGGCUGAUAUCGAUUAGCUAGUUGGGUGGGGUAACGGCUCACCAAGGCGGCUGGUCCGUAGCUGGUUUGAGAGGACGACCAGCCACACUGGGACUGAGACACGGCCCAGACUCUACGGAGGCAGCAGUGGGGAAUUUUGGACAAUGGGAACUCCCUGAUCCAGCCAUCUCGGCGUGUGCGAUGAAGGCUCGGGCUGGUAAAGCACUUUUGGCAGGAAAGAAACGGCACGGGAUAAUACCCCGUGCAACUGACGGUACCUGCAGAAUAAGCACUUCGGCUAACUACGUGCCAGCAGCCGCGGUAAUACGAAGGCAAGCGUUAAUCGGAAUUACCGGGUGUAAAGCGUGCGUGUGGGCGGUUCGGAAAGAAAGAUAAAAUCCCAGAGCUUAACUUUGGAACUGCAUUUUUAACUACCGAGCUAGAGGUUGAGUGGGAGGUGGAAUUUCGCGUAGCAGUGAAAUGCGUAGAUAUGCGGAGGAACACCGAUGGCGAAGGCAGCUCUGGGAGCAACACUGACGCUCAUGCACGAAAGCGUGGGGAGCAUAAGCAGGGAUUAGAUACUCCCGGGUAGUCCACGCCCUAAACGAUGUCAACUAGCUGUUGGGGGCUGGCCUUGGUAGCGCAGUCAACGUAUGAAGUUGACCGCCUGGGGAGUACGGUCGCAAGAUUAAAACUCAAAGGAAUUGACGGGGACCCCGCACAGCGGUGGAUGAUGUGGAUUAAUUCGAUGCAACGCGAAAAACCUUACCUACCCUUGGAUAUGUCUGGAAUCCCGAAGAGAUUUGGGAGUGCUCGCAAGAGAACCGGAACAUGUGUGCUGGGUGGCUGGGCUGUCGUCAGCUCGUGUCGUGAGAUGUUGGGUUAAGUCCUGGCAACGAGCGUAACCCUUGUCAUUAGUUGCUGAUGAAAGGGCACUCUAAUGAGACUGUUGUACAAAACUGGAGGAAGGUGGGGAUGACGUCAAGUCCUCAGCGGUAUUCCUAUGGGUAGGGCUUCACACGUCAUACAAUGGUCGGGACAGAGGGUCGCCAACCCGCGAGGGGGAAAGCCAAUCCCAGAAACCGGAUCGUAGUCCGGAUCGCAGUCUGCACCUCGACUGCGUGAAGUCGGAAUCGCUAGUAAUCGCGGAUCAGCAUGUCGCGGUGAAUACGUUCCCGGGUCUUGUACACACCGCCCGUCACACCAUGGGAGUGGGUUUACCAGAAGUAGCCAGCCUUAACCGUAAGGAGGGCGAUUACCACGGUAGGAUUCAUGACUGGGGUGAAGUCAACAAGGUAG